UACGUAGGGUGCGAGCGUUAAUCGGAAUUACUGGGCGUAAAGGGUGUGCAGGCGGUCUGUUAAGUCAGCGGUCAAAGCCCGGGGCUCAACCCCGGCCCGCCGUUGAAACUGGCAGUCUCGAGUUGGAGAGAAGUAUGCGGAAUGCGCGGUGUAGCGGUGAAAUGCAUAGAUAUCACGCAGAACUCCGAUUGCGAAGGCAGCAUACCGGCGCCCAACUGACGCUGAAGCACGAAAGCGUGGGUAUCGAACAGG
rnacentral:rRNA from 1 species